rnacentral:tRNA from 1 species
GUUCUUGUAGCUUACAACAAAGCAUAGCACUGAAGAUGCUAAGACGACUCUCAACAUGUGUCCAAGAACA